CGGGGUGAGUAAUGUAUGGGGAUCUGCCUGAUGGCGGGGGAUAACUACUGGAAACGGUAGCUAAUACCGCAUAAUGUCUGCGGACCAAAGCGGGGGACCUCCGGGCCUCGCGCCAUCAGAUGAACCCAUAUGGGAUUAGCUUGUAGGUAAGGUAACGGCUUACCUAGGCGACGAUCCCUAGCUGGUCUGAGAGGAUGAUCAGCCACACUGGGGCUGAGACACGGCCCAG
rnacentral:rRNA from 1 species